UGACUAAAAUUCGUCAAAAUUAUUUUCAACUGUGAGAUUGUCUAAUUUAGGGGGAGUUUGAAAUUGUUGAAAAAUAAAAAAAAGGAGGAGAAAAAGAAACUCCUAUGUUUAAAAGAUGUGGAAAGAGUUACAUCCUAAAAGGAGUGUGAAAACUACCACCACAUGUAGGAAAGAGCUACCACCCCGGUCGUCCGGCAAGUGUGUGAAGCAACCACAUGAAGAUUGAAUUGAGUAACCGAAAAAGGUUGAAAAAAAAAAUGAAUAUUUUAGAAUUUUCGGAGUUAUAAGGUUGUAAGAUAAAAAGAUGCUCAAAGAG
rnacentral:lncRNA from 1 species